UCAGAGAUGAACGCUAGCGGCAGGCUUAACACAUGCGAGUCGAGGGGUAACAGGGUGCUUGCACCGCUGACGACCGGCGCACGGGUGCGUAACGCGUAUACAAUUUACCUUAUACAGGAGGAUAGCCCCGAGAAAUUGGGAUUAAUACUCCAUAGUAUCUUAAGAUAGCAUUAUCUAAAGAUUAAAACUCCGGUGGUAUAAGAUGAGUAUGCGUCCUAUUAGUUUGUUGGUGAGGUAACGGCUCACCAAGACUACGAUAGGUAGGGGCCCUGAGAGGGGGAUCCCCCACACUGGUACUGAGACACGGACCAGACUCCUACGGGAGGCAGCAGUGAGGAGUAUUGGGCAAUGGAGGCAACUCUGACCCAGCCAUGCCGCGUGAAGGAAGACGGCCCUAUGGGUUGUAAACUUCUUUUAUAGAGGAAGAAACGCAGAUACGUGUAUUUGUUUGACGGUACUCUACGAAUAAGGACCGGCUAACUCCGUGCCAGCAGCCGCGGGAAUACGGAGGGUCCAAGCGUUAUCCGGAAUCAUUGGGUUUAAAGGGUCCGUAGGCGGACAAUUAAGUCAGAGGUGAAAUCCCACAGCUCAACUGUGGAACUGCCUUUGAUACUGGUUGUCUUGAAUCAUAGUGAAGUAGAUAGAAUAUGUAGUGUAGCGGCGAAAUGCAUAGCUAUUACAUAGAAUACCGAUUGCGAAGGCAGUCUACUAACUGUAUAUUGACGCUUAUGGACGAAAGCGUUGGGGAGCGAACAGGAUUAGAUACCCUGCUAGUCCACGCCGUACACAAUGGAUACUAGUUGUUGGACUUUUAGUUCAGGGACUAUCCAAAGCGAUAAGUCUCCCCCUUGGGAAGAACGUCUCAAGGAUUGAAACUCA
rnacentral:rRNA from 1 species